ACACACUAUGCAUUAUAUACGCACACACACUCAUACAAACACACACUCUGCAUUAUAUACGCACACACACUCAUACAAACACACACUCUGCAUUAUACACACACACACUCAUACAAACACACACUCUGCAUUAUACACACACACACUCAUACAAACACACACUCUGCAUUAUAUACGCACACACACUCAUACAAACACACACUCAUACAAACAAUCUGCAUUCUACACACACACUCA